UACCUACGGGAGGCAGCAGUAGGGAAUUUUCGUCAAUGGGCGCAAGCCUGAACGAGCAAUGCCGCGUGAACGAGGAAGGUCUUCGGAUCGUAAAAUUCUGUUGAAGGGGAAAAAGAGCGGAGAGAGGACAUGGUCUCCGAUUGAUAUUACCCUUCGAGGAAGUCACGGCUAACUACGUGCCAGCAGCCGCGGUAAUACGUAGGUGGCGAGCGUUAUCCGGAAUGAGUGGGCGUAAAGGGUGCGUAGGCGGCCUGCUCAGUCUGGAGUGAAAGGUAACGGCUCAAUCGGUACAGGCUCCGGAACCU
rnacentral:rRNA from 1 species